rnacentral:rRNA from 1 species
CCGCGGGAUUAGAGUUUGAUCCUGGCUCAGAGCGAACGCUGGCGGCAGGCUUAACACAUGCAAGUCGAGCGGGCACUUCGGUGUCAGCGGCGGACAGGUGAGUAACGCGUGGGAACGUGCCCUCUGGUUCGGAAUAACUCAGGGAAACUUGAGCUAAUACCGGAUACGCCCUUUUGGGGAAAGGCUUGCUGCCGGAGGAUCGGCCCGCGUCUGAUUAGCUAGUUGGUGAGGUAACGGCUCACCAAGGCGACGAUCAGUAGCUGGUCUGAGAGGAUGAUCAGCCACACUGGGACUGAGACACGGCCCAGACUCCUACGGGAGGCAGCAGUGGGGAAUAUUGGACAAUGGGCGCAAGCCUGAUCCAGCCAUGCCGCGUGAGUGAUGAAAGCCUUACGGUUGUAAAGCUCUUUUAUCCGGGACGAUAAUGACGGUACCGGGUGGAAUAAGCCCCGGCUAACUUCGUGCCAGCAGCCGCGGUAAUACGAAGGGGGCUAGCGUUGCUCGGAAUCACUGGGCGUAAAGGGCGCGUAGGCGGCGUUUUAAGUCGGGGGUGAAAGCCUGUGGCUCAACCACAGAAUGGCCUUCGAUACUGGGACGCUUGAGUAUGGUAGAGGUUGGUGGAACUGCGAGUGUAGAGGUGAAAUUCGUAGAUAUUCGCAAGAACACCGGUGGCGAAGGCGGCCAACUGGACCAUUACUGAC